AUGUGCUUACAGUGCUGCUAUUCUCGCCAUCUCAAAGUGAUCUGGUACCGAAUGAUGCCCAGCUGCCUGCAGAAGCAAGAGCUUCACGAAUGCAGUGAAUUAGGAACAGAAGUGAGACAGGUCACACUUGAAGAACUUCUGUACCCGCAACCAAGCUGGGGCAUGGGGGCGAUCGAAGGGACACCAGCUGGAAGGUACUCUCCGAAGGUCUGCCCACUGAACUCCGACUUCUCUUCCGAGGGCAACUCACCAAUCAUCAACGAGAGCAUCUCCAUCGGUGGAGUGUCUGUGAGAAGUCAAAAUAGUGCCGCAAGGAGAGUUAGCUUUAGAUCACCUCAUGAAUAUGAUGUAUUUAUCAUUCCUGCAAAAGAUUCAGAUGAUGAUUCCAGUGAUGGUGAACCACCCAGGAUAUGA
rnacentral:rRNA from 1 species